rnacentral:rRNA from 1 species
GUUCAACGGCCGCGGUAUCCUAACCGUGCAAAGGUAGCGUAAUCACUUGUUUUUUAAAUGAGGACCGGUAUGAAUGGCACCACGAAGGUUAUACUGUCUCCUUUUUCUAAUCAGUGAAACUAACCCCCCCGUGAAGAGGCGGGGAUGAGCUUAUAAGACGAGAAGACCCUAUGGAGCUUAAAACUCAAUAACAUUUGCCCAACACCCACCCAAUCUCAGGAAACUCGCCCCCCACCCGGACAUAUUGAUUACAAGUUUUUGGUUGGGGUGACCGCGGAGCAAAAAACAACCUCCACAAUGAAUGGGACCCCCCCCCCUAAUUUCAGGGCCACAGCCCUAAAAAUCAACAAAUUGACAUAUAUUUGACCCGAUUCUUUUGAGCAACGAACCAAGUUACCCUAGGGAUAACAGCGCAAUCCACUUUAAGAGCCCCUAUCGACAAGUGGGUUUACGACCUCGAUGUUGGAUCAGG